UACGUAUGGUGCAAGCGCUAUCCGGAUUUACUGGGCGUAAAGGGAGCGCAGGCGGCGCGCCAAGUCUGAUGUGAAACCCCGGGGCUCAACCCCGGGCAUGCAUUGGAAACUGGCGGGCUGGAGUGCCGGAGAGGUAAGCGGAAUUCCUAGUGUAGCGGUGAAAUGCGUAGAUAUUAGGAGGAACACCAGUGGCGAAGGCGGCUUACUGGACGGCAACUGACGCUGAGGCUCGAAAGCGUGGGGAGCAAACAGG
rnacentral:rRNA from 1 species